GUUACAUCAGCGCCUGUCUGAAAACCAAAAAAGGAAAAAUACGAAAUAAGCUAUGUAGUAUAAACAUUUCUAUCCAGUAAAAUUUUCUGUGAUGAUGGGAAUGUUUGUAACUGUUAGUUCAGUGUGAUUGAUAUCAGGUACAUGUGACUACUGGCCCCUCAGAAUGUGACUAGUGUGUCCAAGUAACUGGGUUUUAAAUUAUGUUUAGUUUCAAUUAAGUUCAAACUUUUAAAUAGCCUCUUUAAACUAAUGGCUACUGUGUUGAAUGUUGUCGGAGUAUUAAAACACUCUAAAAGGAUUCUUUUGGACACAUACUCAAGACCUCUAAGGGGAGGUCAGAAUUCUUUUCAUUUGUCAUAUCAUUCUAUUUCUCUACAGGGACAACUUUGAAGUGGUUCCCUGUUCGAAGUGGUGGGGAUUUUAGGCCAAGAACUAAAAGUAUUCUAAACUUAAGUUGACUGGGGCAAGUAUUAAGUUUUUGGUUUUGGCACACAAAGUCCAGGAGGCCUUUCUGUGAUAUAAUAGAAAGGCUUUACAUCUGUAUAACUACAGGUGCUGUGAAUAAUUAAAAAGGUACCAGAGAGACUACAGCAAAAAUUUUGUUUAAUUUAACUUAAAUGUGAAUAGCUGCAUGUUUCAGUGCUGGUAUAUUGAUUGGCCAGGGCAACUCUGGAACUAAUGAUAUCAAGCUUUUCUGCUACAGAGUCUGCAAAGACUUCGAAAUUCAUGCACUCUCUAAAACAUUUGUAGGUAAAUAGUAAACAUGUAGAUUAGGGGCUGGAGAAAUGGCUCAGCAGUUAGGAGCAUUUGUUGUGUUUACAAAGGACCUUGGUUUAGUUUCCAGCAACCAACCGCAUAGUAGUUCACAGCUAUUCCGUAGCUCCAGUUCCAGAGGGAUUUGAUGUCCUCUCUGACCUCCAUGGGCACUGGGUAGGUGGUGCACAUACAUGCAGGCAACACUCAUAUACGGAAAAAGAUAAAAUCUAAAAACAUUUAAAAUUUUAUAGGAAUUACUAGGAUAUAUAAAAUACCCUUGUUUGGGAUGCAUAAGACAAAAAUGGGUGUAAAAUUUAUGAAUAAUGUACUCUGAAUCUGAGAACUCCUUAUAAUAUCCUUGUUGGUAAGUGUUAGCAAAUUUAUGGAGUAGGAGAUGAUUCUCAUUAUGUUUGAAGGAAGCAAAGUCUCAGACCCACUGUUCCUUUGGUCAUUCUAAAUUUAGAGGUCAGACCUUUAUUCCUAAAAAAUAUGGUGGGAUGAUCCCAGUCUUCAAGGUUUUUAGGUCCCGAUCAGUCAGCAGAGGAACUACGUAGUCCUGGGUAUCUUUUGAAUAUCUUUCUUACCUAAUACAGUGGAACUCAAUCCUUGAGAUCCAGGCUUUAAGUAAUGAGAUCUGAAAUAGAGACCUUAAAGUUUGAUUCCUUACAGUACAGUGUGAGCCUUUACCCACAGGACAGGAGUUAGACGCCGAGGAACUGGUUGCUGUGCAGUGAAGUGUGUGUGCUGCUGUUGGUAUUGAUACAUCGCUCACUGGGCUCUAUGGUUGAGCUUCAGCAGCAGUUACCCGAGGCUCCAGACUUUACCUGAGGUAACAAGAUGCUUAGUUAGGCACAAGGCAGCAGAGUACAUGAGUUGUUGGUGUGGAGCUCAGGAGCAAUGUAACCUGGAUUCUUCUAAAUAGUGAAAGUGUUCCAAAAUUUUUAAGUGAUUUUAAAAGAGUGCCUUUUAGUUGAGGAACAACUUGCUGUGUAGUAUAUGGUGAAGAUGUGGCUUAGAAUCAGGGAAUGAUUGCCUGGUAGUGUUAUAAAGAACCAUCUGAGAGUAAGCUGGUAAUUUCAGGAUGGCAUUUGAAUGAAUGUGUCAGUUCUAGGUUAUAUUUUUUAUUAUUAGCAUAUUUUUUUGAACUGUAGUUGUGUAAAUAUAAUGCAUUGCAUUCCUUAAUUUUAAUUUUAAGAAAACCUAAAGUUGUACAUCUGUAUUUGACUAUUACACACAAGAAGAAUAUAUUUUACUUUGGGAACUAGUUUAUUACCAUAACAUGUACAUAUAAUAGAAAUAAAUUUUACCAAGUAAUAAUGAUAGCUUACACUGUAUAGUGCUACAGUAAUGUAGCAUUGAGCACAUCCCACAGACUGUUCUAUGUGCUG
rnacentral:lncRNA from 1 species